CUCUAUGUGUGUGGCUACAAUAUAGUGGUGGUUUGUUCUUGUAGGAAUUCUUUAAUUUCAAGAAUGCCCUACACCAACUCAAUAUUUUAAAAGGAUAAAGUGAAAAUUGACCAAAAAUAAUUAAAACAAAUUUGAUUAAAAAUAAUCAAACUGUGAGUGGUUUAACUCGCUAUGAUAAAUCGUUUGAAUCAAAACGAUUUGUCGUUGACCAGAGCAAACAAAUGAUUCUAAAUGAGCUAACCCUAGCUCAGAUUCAAUCAAAUAACCUUCGAGAUUUAAACCAAAUCUCUUUCUCUCUUUCUUCCUCUUCAAACGAAACCUAGGAAUCCAGAUAGCCAACUCGAUCAAACCAGACCGAUAUCACUAGAACCUAUCCCCAAAAAAUAGAUCACAAUUAUACAAACACAAGUACAUGCAUCAAAAGAAAAAAAAAAUAGAGAAAACAAACACAGCGAUUAUAGAGGUUCGCCCUAAAUCCAGGGAUACUUCCUCUUUGAGCUCGCCUUGAAGAACGAUCUCAAAUCUACACUAUACUUUGAAGAAUAUUACAUAAGCUCAACACAUGAGCUCCUCUCUCUAAAUCUGGGUCUCACAUUUUUGGUAUUUCUACUCUGCUUUACGAUUGGUGAGGACUCCUCCUUUUAUAGCUGUUAUUACAAUUGUAAUUAGAGCAGAGGAAUUUUGGUUUGUACAACAAAAAUUAUGUUAGGAAGUAGUUGGAGUUUGUUAUUUCUGGUGAGUGAGAAUCAUGAGCCUUUUUAUUGUAUUUGCUUUUCUAUUUGGUUGUUGUAAGUAGCAAGUGAUAUAAAAGAAUUUAAUUUUUACA